rnacentral:rRNA from 1 species
AGUGAACGUUGGCGGCGUGGAUUAGGCAUGCAAGUCGAGCGAUCGUAGCAAUACGGGAGCGGCAAACGGGGUAGGAAUACAUCGAAACGUAACCUUUUGGUUGAGAAUAGCGUUGGGAAACUGACGGUAAUACUCAAUAAAGUCGAGAGACCAAAGGUUUACUGCCGGAAGAGCGGCCGAUGCGAUAUUAGGUAGUUGGUGGGGUAAUGGCCUACCAAGCCUGAGAUGUCUAGGGGGUGUGAGAGCAUGGCCCCCACCACUGGGACUGAGAUACUGCCCAGACACCUACGGGUGGCUGCAGUCGAGGAUCUUCGUCAAUGGGCGAAAGCCUGAACGAGCGACGCCGCGUGCGGGAUGAAGGCCCUUGGGUUGUAAACCGCUGUCAGGGGGGAUGAAACCGUAAGGUUGACAGAGCCCAGAGGAAGCACGGGCUAAAGUUCGUGCCAGCAGCCGCGGUAAGACGUAGCGUG